UAAGGAAUAUUGGUCAAUGGACGGAAGUCUGAACCAGCCAUGCCGCGUGCAGGAAGACGGCCCUACGGGUUGUAAACUGCUUUUAUACCGGAAUAAACCCUUUUACGUGUAAGAGGCUGAAUGUACGGUAGGAAUAAGGAUCGGCUAACUCCGUGCCAGCAGCCGCGGUAAUACGGAGGAUCCAAGCGUUAUCCGGAUUUAUUGGGUUUAAAGGGUGCGUAGGCGGCCUUGUAAGUCAGGGGUGAAAGACGGCAGCUUAACUGUCGCAGUGCCUUUGAUACUGCAGGGCUUGAAUGUACUUGAAGUGGGCGGAAUGUGACAAGUAGCGGUGAAAUGCAUAGAUAUGUCACAGAACACCGAUUGCGAAGGCAGCUCACUAAAGUAAGAUUGACGCUGAGGCACGAAAGCGUGGGGAUCAAACAGGAUUAGAUACCCCGGUAGUCC
rnacentral:rRNA from 1 species